UUUUUUACAGAAAAUUAAAAUUGCCAAAAUAGGCAGUAAGUCAGUUUCGAAUAAAGUCAGAAAUAUUCUAAAAUUCAUCAUAACUGAUGAAUUAAGAAAAAAGAUCUCUUGGACGGGGCAAAAAGGAUCAUUUGUCAUUCAAAAUACAAAAAUUACGAAUAUAGUUACAGGUAAUUUUUGUAUAUCAAAAAGUGUUUCAAGAAUGGCUACGACACGCAGGAGAUAGGGUGAAAUACUCAGAAAAAAACAAAAAAUAAAGAAAGUUAAAAUUGCCAAAAUUGGCGGCAAGUCAGUUUCGAAUAAAGUCAGAAAUAUUCUAAAAUUCAUCAUAACUGAUGAAUUAGAAAAGAAGAUCUCUUGGACGGGGCAAGAGGGAUCAUUUGCCAUCCUAAAUACAAAAAUUGCGAAUAUAGUUACAGAUACCAACGAAUGUAGCAUAUAUGAUGUACAAAAAGUAAUUCAAGAAUGGCUACGACACGCAGGAGAUAGAGUAAAAUAUUCAGAAGAAAAACAAAAA